rnacentral:rRNA from 1 species
UACGGGGGGAGCAAGCGUUGUUCGGAUUUACUGGGCGUAAAGGGCGCGUAGGCGGCCUGCUAAGUCGGAUGUGAAAUCCCUCGGCUCAACCGAGGAACUGCAUCCGAUACUGGCGGGCUUGAAUCCGGGAGAGGGAUGUGGAAUUCCAGGUGUAGCGGUGAAAUGCGUAGAUAUCUGGAGGAACGACCGGUGGCGAAGGCGGCAUCCUGGACCGGUAUUGACGCUGAGGCGCGAAAGCUAGGGGAGCAAACGGG